rnacentral:rRNA from 1 species
CGGGUGAGUAACACGUGGGUAACCUGCCCAUAAGACUGGGAUAACUCCGGGAAACCGGGGCUAAUACCGGAUAACAUUUUGAACUGCAUGGUUCGAAAUUGAAAGGCGGCUUCGGCUGUCACUUAUGGAUGGACCCGCGUCGCAUUAGCUAGUUGUGAGGUAACGGCUCACCAAGGCAACGAUGCGUAGCCGACCUGAGAGGGUGAUCGGCCACACUGGGACUGAGACACGGCCCAGACUCCUACGGGAGGCAGCAGUAGGGAUCUUCCGCAAUGGACGAAAGUCUGACGGAGCAACGCCGCGUGAGUGAUGAAGGCUUUCGGGUCGUAAAACUCUGUUGUUAGGGAAGAACAAGUGCUAGUUGAAUAAGCUGGCACCUUGACGGUACCUAACCAGAAAGCACGGCUAACUACGUGCCAGCAGCCGCGGUAAUACGUAGGUGGCAAGCGUUAUCCGGAAUUAUUGGGCGUAAAGCGCGCGCAGGUGGUUUCUUAAGUCUGAUGUGAAAGCCCACGGCUCAACCGUGGAGGGUCAUUGGAAACUGGGAGACUUGAGUGCAGAAGAGGAAAGUGGAAUUCCAUGUGUAGCGGUGAAAUGCGUAGAGAUAUGGAGGAACACCAGUGGCGAAGGCGACUUUCUGGUCUGUAACUGACACUGAGGCGCGUAGUUAUGACUCUCCC